rnacentral:rRNA from 2 species
AGAGUUUGAUCAUGGCUCAGAUUGAACGCUGGCGGCAGGCCUAACACAUGCAAGUCGAACGGUAACAGGAAGCAGCUUGCUGCUUUGCUGACGAGUGGCGGACGGGUGAGUAAUGUCUGGGAAACUGCCUGAUGGAGGGGGAUAACUACUGGAAACGGUAGCUAAUACCGCAUAACGUCGCAAGACCAAAGAGGGGGACCUUCGGGCCUCUUGCCAUCGGAUGUGCCCAGAUGGGAUUAGCUAGUAGGUGGGGUAAAGGCUCACCUAGGCGACGAUCCCUAGCUGGUCUGAGAGGAUGACCAGCCACACUGGAACUGAGACACGGUCCAGACUCCUACGGGAGGCAGCAGUGGGGAAUAUUGCACAAUGGGCGCAAGCCUGAUGCAGCCAUGCCGCGUGUAUGAAGAAGGCCUUCGGGUUGUAAAGUACUUUCAGCGGGGAGGAAGGGAGUAAAGUUAAUACCUUUGCUCAUUGACGUUACCCGCAGAAGAAGCACCGGCUAACUCCGUGCCAGCAGCCGCGGUAAUACGGAGGGUGCAAGCGUUAAUCGGAAUUACUGGGCGUAAAGCGCACGCAGGCGGUUUGUUAAGUCAGAUGUGAAAUCCCCGGGCUCAACCUGGGAACUGCAUCUGAUACUGGCAAGCUUGAGUCUCGUAGAGGGGGGUAGAAUUCCAGGUGUAGCGGUGAAAUGCGUAGAGAUCUGGAGGAAUACCGGUGGCGAAGGCGGCCCCCUGGACGAAGACUGACGCUCAGGUGCGAAAGCGUGGGGAGCAAACAGGAUUAGAUACCCUGGUAGUCCACGCCGUAAACGAUGUCGACUUGGAGGUUGUGCCCUUGAGGCGUGGCUUCCGGAGCUAACGCGUUAAGUCGACCGCCUGGGGAGUACGGCCGCAAGGUUAAAACUCAAAUGAAUUGACGGGGGCCCGCACAAGCGGUGGAGCAUGUGGUUUAAUUCGAUGCAACGCGAAGAACCUUACCUGGUCUUGACAUCCACGGAAGUUUUCAGAGAUGAGAAUGUGCCUUCGGGAACCGUGAGACAGGUGCUGCAUGGCUGUCGUCAGCUCGUGUUGUGAAAUGUUGGGUUAAGUCCCGCAACGAGCGCAACCCUUAUCCUUUGUUGCCAGCGGUCCGGCCGGGAACUCAAAGGAGACUGCCAGUGAUAAACUGGAGGAAGGUGGGGAUGACGUCAAGUCAUCAUGGCCCUUACGACCAGGGCUACACACGUGCUACAAUGGCGCAUACAAAGAGAAGCGAUCUCGCGAGAGCAAGCGGACCUCAUAAAGUGCGUCGUAGUCCGGAUUGGAGUCUGCAACUCGACUCCAUGAAGUCGGAAUCGCUAGUAAUCGUAGAUCAGAAUGCCACGGUGAAUACGUUCCCGGGCCUUGUACACACCGCCCGUCACACCAUGGGAGUGGGUUGCAAAAGAAGUAGGUAGCUUAACCUUCGGGAGGGCGCUUACCACUUUGUGAUUCAUGACUGGGGUGAAGUCGUAACAAGGUAACCGUAGGGGAACCUGCGGUUGGAUCACCU